rnacentral:rRNA from 1 species
UUGAACGCUGGCGGCAUGCCUUACACAUGCAAGUCGAACGGCAGCACGGGUGCUUGCACCUGGUGGCGAGUGGCGAACGGGUGAGUAAUACAUCGGAACAUGUCCUGUAGUGGGGGAUAGCCCGGCGAAAGCCGGAUUAAUACCGCAUACGAUCUACGGAUGAAAGCGGGGGACCUUCGGGCCUCGCGCUAUAGGGUUGGCCGAUGGCUGAUUAGCUAGUUGGUGGGGUAAAGGCCUACCAAGGCGACGAUCAGUAGCUGGUCUGAGAGGACGACCAGCCACACUGGGACUGAGACACGGCCCAGACUCCUACGGGAGGCAGCAGUGGGGAAUUUUGGACAAUGGGCGAAAGCCUGAUCCAGCAAUGCCGCGUGUGUGAAGAAGGCCUUCGGGUUGUAAAGCACUUUUGUCCGGAAAGAAAUCCUUGGCUCUAAUACAGCCGGGGGAUGACGGUACCGGAAGAAUAAGCACCGGCUAACUACGUG